CGCGUAGGCGGGAUGGCAAGUCGGUCGUGAAAUCCUUCGGCUCAACCGAAGAACGUCGAUCGAUACUGCUGUUCUUGAGGGUUGCAGAGGAGACUGGAAUUCCCGGUGUAGCGGUGAAAUGUGUAGAGAUCGGGAGGAACACCGGUGGCGAAGGCGGGUCUCUGGGCAAUUCCUGACGCUGAGGCGCGAAAGCGUGGGGAGCAAACGGGAUUAGAUACCCCGGUAGUCCACGCUGUAAACGAUGACGACUAGGUGUGGGGGGAUUCAGUCCCUUCCGUGCCGCAGCUAACGCAUUAAGUCGUCCGCCUGGGGAGUACGGCCGCAAGGUUGAA
rnacentral:rRNA from 1 species